UCUCAGUUCGGAUUGGAGUCUGNAACCCGACUCCAUGAAGCUGGAUUCGCUGUAAUCGCGCAUCAGCCACGGCGCGGUGAAUACGUUCCCGGGCCUUGUACACACCGCCCGUCAAGCCAUGGAAGCCGGGAGUGCCUGAAGUGCGUGACCGCAAGGAGCGUCCUAAGGCAAUACCGGUGACUGGGGCUAAGUCGUAACAAGGUAUC
rnacentral:rRNA from 1 species